rfam:Lactobacillus farraginis DSM 18382 = JCM 14108 DNA, contig: JCM14108.contig00095.
UCCACCGUGAGGCGGAAUCUGAAGGAAGUCUAAGGCAAAGUGCUGAACCGAUGUACAAGAACUGGCUACAAGGCUGUUAUCUGGAGAUAAGGUUGCAUCACAUACCAAAGUCUCAUACUACUCGAAACAGAUAGCAGUAAAGCCGGCGGUUACGUGGCAUGAAAGUUAGCGUC